UACGUAGGGUGCAAGCGUUUAAUCGGAAUUACUGGGCGUAAAGCGUGCGCAGGCGGCUUUGCAAGACAGAUGUGAAAUCCCCCGGGCUUACCACUGGGGAACCUGCAUUUGUGACUGCAUCGGCUGAGAGCGGCAGAGGGGGAUGGAAUUCCGCGUGUAGCAGUGAAAUGCGUAGAUAUGCGGAGGAACACCGAUGGCGAAGGCAAUCCCCUGGGCC
rnacentral:rRNA from 1 species